GACGAACGCUGGCGGCGUGCCUAAUACAUGCAAGUAGGACGCAGUUGCGAACGGGUGAGUAACGCGUAGGUAACUGCCUAUUAGAGGGGGAUAACUAUUGGAAACGCUAGCUAAUACCGCAUACUAGUAGAUGGACCUGCGUUGUAUUAGCUAGUAGGUAGGGGAAUGGCCUACCUAGGCGGCGAUACAUAGCCGACCCGAGGGGGGGAUCGGCCAAACUGGGACUGAGAAACGGCCCAGACUCCUACGGGAGGCAGCAGUAGGGAAUCUUUGGCAAUGGGGGGAACCCUGACCGAGCAAAGCCGCGGGAGUGAAGAAGGUUUGCGGAUCGUAAAGCUCUGUUGUUAAGGAAGCGGUACUUAACCAGAAAGGGACGGCUAACUACGUGCCAGCCGCCGCGGUAAUAC
rnacentral:rRNA from 1 species